GGUUUGCAUAAUAAUUUGCCACCUUGCAUUAAUAACCUAAAUAGCUUUUUCCCCUAUCAAAUAAGAUCUUGUUAGGAAUGAGGGAAUUUACUAUUUGUCUUUGUUGCAGUUUCUUCAAGGUCAAUAGCUCACAAUGCUGAAGUGUAAAACCCUUAGCCUUGGUUCUCAAAGCAUACUCCCAGGACCUGCAGCAUCAGAAUCACCUGGAAACUUUUUAAAAUUUCAAAUUUCAGCCCCUACCACAAACCUAAUGAAUUAGAAAUGCUGUUUGUAGGUCCCAGCUAUCUGUGUCUGAACAAACCCCCAAGUGAUUCUGAAUUUCAAGAACUACUGCUCUAUAGGACCAGUUGCUUUAUUUCCAUUUCUAGAUGAUUAACAUUCAUAUGAUUCCCUUAAAUGCAUAGGACUGGUAAAAGAUAUACAACCUCCAUAACUUUUAUCUUAAUAAAUGCUUUGCACACAUAGUAAAUGAAUUAAUAAAUACAAACCUGACAUAAGGGGGAAGAUUAGUAUAACUUUCCCCACAAUUUACAACAUGCCUGCCUUCUUUACUAACACAACUAUUAACUAUUCAUUACAUGAAGGAGGGCACCCAAAAUGUGACACAGACAUUAACCUUCUAAAUUUUAGGCAAUUUACAGCAAGCAGUAAGGUCUCUAGAGGCCAGUUUGAUAUUGCUUUGAGAGCCACUUCUCAAUUUCUUACACAAAGAAUAUCCAGGCAUUGUUCUUUUCUCAUCUCAAAGCUUAUUCCCCCUGGGAAGAAUCCAUUUGAACCAUCCCUUCUAUAAUAAUUGACUAUUUAUAUGCAGCUAUUACCAGCGAACUUCACCCUCUUGAGGGCCACUGACCAUGCCUGGUCCCAAUUCUGAGAUACUUUUAUGAUGAAAUGUCACCAGGAGAUGAGAAUCUAACUAUGGAAUAACUCCAGGAUGGUUUUCUUAAGUCUUCUAUGGAAAAAUGUCAUCAGGUGCCACACAUGGGUCCACUUCAGUCCUGGGCUC
rnacentral:lncRNA from 1 species